rnacentral:rRNA from 1 species
AUUGAACGCUGGCGGCAUGCUUUACACAUGCAAGUCGAACGGUAACAGGCCGCAAGGUGCUGACGAGUGGCGAACGGGUGAGUAAUGCAUCGGAACGUGCCCAGUCGUGGGGGAUAACUACUCGAAAGAGUAGCUAAUACCGCAUACGAUCUAUGGAUGAAAGCGGGGGACCGUAAGGCCUCGCGCGAUUGGAGCGGCCGAUGUCAGAUUAGGUAGUUGGUGGGGUAAAGGCUCACCAAGCCAACGAUCUGUAGCUGGUCUGAGAGGACGACCAGCCACACUGGGACUGAGACACGGCCCAGACUCCUACGGGAGGCAGCAGUGGGGAAUUUUGGACAAUGGGCGCAAGCCUGAUCCAGCAAUGCCGCGUGCAGGAAGAAGGCCUUCGGGUUGUAAACUGCGUUUGUACGGAACGAAACGGCUCUGGUUAAUACCCGGGGCUAAUGACGGUACCGUAAGAAUAAGCACCGGCUAACUACGUG